GAUGAAGAUCGUAGCGAAAUGCGAUAAGUAAUGUGAAUUGCAGAAUUCAGUGAAUCAUCGAAUCUUUGAACGCACAUUGCGCCCCCCAGUAUUCUGGCGGGCAUGCCUGUUCGAGCGUCAUUUCAACCAUCAAGCCCUGCUUGUGUUGGGGUCCUGCGGCUGCCCGCAGGCCCUGAAAACCAGUGGCGGGCUCGCUAGUCACACCGAGCGCAGUAGCACAUCUCGCUCAGGGCGUGCGGCGGGCUCCAGCCGUUAAAGCCCCCACCUUUCGCAAGGUUGACCUCGGAUCAGGUAGGAAUACCCGCUGAACUUAAGCAUAUCAAUAAGCGGAGGA
rnacentral:misc_RNA from 1 species